AGCUUACUGGAUCUGUUCUGACGCUAAAGGACGAAAGCGUGGGGAGCAAACGGGAUUAGAUACCCCGGUAGUCCACGCCCUAAACGAUGAACACUAGGUGUUGGAGGCUUCGACCCCUUCAGUGCCGUCGCAAACGCAUUAAGUGUUCCGCCUGGGUAGUACGAUCGCAAGAUUAAAACUCAAAGGAAUAGACGGGGACCCACACAAGCGGUGGAGCAUCUGGUUUAAUUCGACAAUAAGCGAGGAACCUUACCAAGACUUGACAUCCCGAGAAGAUCGCCGAAAGGUGAUUGUGCCGUUAGGAACUCGGUGACAGGUGCUGCAUGGUUGUCGUCAGCUCGUGCCUUGAGGUGUUCGGUUAAGUCCGUGAACGAGCGCAACCCUUGUCCUAAGUUGCAUUUUUCUUAGGAGACUGCCGGUUCUAAAUCGGAGGAAGGUAAGGAUGACGUCAAAUCAGCAUGGCCCUUAUGUCUUGGGCGACACAGGUGCUACAAUGGCCGGUACAAUGGGCAGCCAAGGGGUAACCCGGAGCUAAUCCCCAAAACCGGUCUAAGUUCGGAUUGAGGGCUGCAACUCGCCCUCAUGAAGCUGGAAUCGCCAGUAAACGCGUAUCAGCCAUGGCGCGUUGAAUAUGUUCCUGGGUCUUGUACUCACCGCCCGUCAGGGCACGGGAGUCGCUCUUGCUCGAAGUUCCCGAAUAAUUCGGGACCGAAAGUUAAGGGUGGCAACCAGGCUUAAGUCGUAACAAGGUAGCCGUAGA
rnacentral:rRNA from 1 species